AUACGGAGGGUGCAAGCGUUACUCGGAAUCACAGGGCGUAAAGGACGCGUAGGCGGGUUGGCAAGUCAGAUGUGAAAUCCUACAGCUUAACUGUAGAACUGCAUUUGAAACUGCUAACCUAGAGUAUGGGUGGGGGAGAUGGAAUUAGUGGUGUAGGGGUAAAAUCCGUAGAUAUCACUAGGAAUACCGAAAGCGAAGGCGAUUUCCUGGAACAUAACUGACGCUAAGGCGUGAAAGCGUGGGGAGCAAACAGGAUUAGAAACCCUAGUAGUCC
rnacentral:rRNA from 1 species